rnacentral:rRNA from 1 species
UACGGAGGGGGCUAGCGUUGUUCGGAAUUACUGGGCGUAAAGCGCACGUAGGCGGCUUUGUAAGUUAGAGGUGAAGGCCCAGGGCUUAACCCUGGAAUUGCCUUUAAGACUGCAUCGCUAGAAUUGUGGAGAGGUAAGUGGAAUUCCGAGUGUAGAGGUGAAAUUCGUAGAUAUUCGGAAGAACACCAGUGGCGAAGGCGACUUACUGGACACAUAUUGACGCUGAGGUGCGAAAGCGUGGGGAGCAAACAGG